GACGAACGCUGGCGGCGUGCUUAACACAUGCAAGUCGAACGGAAAGUCCCUGCUUUUGUGGGGUGCUCGAGGGGCGAACGGGUGAGUAACACGUGAGUAACCAGCCCCUGACCUUGGGAUAUCCUCAGGAAACUUGGGCUAAUCCCGCAAAGGAGCUCCCGCUGCAGGGUGGGCGUGGGUAAGUUUCGGCGGUUGGGGAUGGAAUGGCCGCCUAUCAGGUUGUUGGCGGGGUAGUGGCUUAGCAAGACUUUGAAGGGUAGCCGGCCUGAGAGGGCGAUCGGUCCUGAUACGACUGACCUGCGCCCCAGACACCUACCGGAGGCAGCACAGGGGAAGGUAACAUGAUAGACGGAAGCCUGAUGCAACAAAGCCCCGUACGGGAUGACGGCCUUCGAGUGGUAAGCUACUUUCGCCUUUGACGCGGCGUGAGUGACAGUAAUGGGUGAAGAAGCGCCGGCUAACUACGUG
rnacentral:rRNA from 1 species